rnacentral:rRNA from 1 species
AAUGAACGCUGGCGGCAUGCCUAACACAUGCAAGUCGAACGAGACCUCCGGGUCUAGUGGCGCACGGGGGCGUAACGCGUGGGAAGCUUCACUUAGGUUCGGAAUACCUCUCCGAAAGGGGUGCCAAUACCGGAUAAUGUCUUCGGACCAAAGAUUUAUCGCGUUUGGAUGGGCACGAGUUGGAUUAGCUAGUUGGUAGGGUAAAAGCCUACUAAGGCGACGAUCCAUAGCUGGGCGGAGAGGAUGAUCAGCGACACUGGGACUGAGACACGGCCCAGAAUCCUACGGGAGGGGGGAGAGGGGGAUAUUGGACCAUGGGGGAAGGCCUGAACCAGCAAUGCCGGGUGAGUGAUGAAGGCCGUAGAGUUGUAAAGCUCUUUUACCCGGGAUGAUAAUGACGGUACCGGGAGAAUAAGCGCCGGCUAACUCCGUG